CUCAGUGAUGGGGAGUGUCAGUGAGAGGGAAGGGGAUUUAGAGCAGGUGGGACUUAAAGAGGUCCCAGGGCUUGGUGUGGUGGUCAGGGGCUUAGGGACAAGCAGAGCAGAGUUGCUCUUCCUGGACCCCUGUCCCGGGCAGGCUGGUGUUGCCCUGUGGUUUCUGAAGUCGGUCUCCCCAUCUCUCCCCUCCUCUGGGAGCCCCGGACUGGCCAGAAUUUGGAAGAGAUUCAUGGAGUGGGGCAUAUCAGCAAGAGUUCAUAGCCAAGUGGAUGUCCCUGGACCUGGACGUGCUGCUGGCACCAGCUCUGGAGACCCUGCCUUCUAUAUCGGCUAUCCUGCCAUGGCAUCAACUUGUGGGGUCUUAGUUCCCGGACCAGGGAUCGAACCCGUGGCUUCUGCAGUGGAAGCGUGGAGUCCUAACUACUGGACCACCAGGAAAUUCCCUCCAUUCACUUUUUUUUUUCUCCAUUCACUUUUUAAAUGAACUUUAUUGGAGUAUAAUUUACAUGCAAUAAAAUUCACCAAUUUUGAGUAACUUGAUGAAUUUUAACAAAUGUAUAUAUACAUGUAUAACCACCACCAUAAUCAAAAUAUAGACUAUUUCCAUCAUCCUCCAAAUUUUCCUCAUGUCCUGUUACAAUUCACCCCACCCCUACCUCCAGCAACCACUGGUCUGCCUUCUGUCACUACGGUUUUGCCUCUUCUAGGACUUCAUAUAAAUGGAAUCAUGAGGUAGAUCUUCCUACUUGGCCCUGUACAACAUCCUGAAUUUCCCUGCCGGUGUGGUGCCCGUCACCACCGUGAUGCUACAGGAUGAGGAGGAACUGGCCUUCUACAGGGGCUACUACAGAGAUCGUUCCGAAAAAGAUUUCCAGGAGGUGGUGAGAGGAUCUGUGGGGCUUUCGGCGGCUGUGCAGGGCACCGCUUUGCCAUGAGAAGAGGAACUGUGUCUCCGGUUCAUGAAGGAGGUGGAGGCCUUGGUCAAGAAGCACAGGGAAUCCAAGUGACAAGACACUCCUUCUCCUGGAGGCCUUUCUACAUCCUCACUUAAGUCUGCUCUCGAUGUCCCUUCCUUCUCAUGAAUACCAGAUCUGCCUCAUUUCUCCUCCUCCUGGAAGCCCACCAGAGUUUUUCUUUGUUAUCCCUCUGUGUGUCUGCUCAAUACAGAUGCCCCAGAUUAUCCCAAGAUAGGGAGCAGGAUGAAGUGCUUAAUAAACAUUUUGACUGGC